GAUAAAUAGACUUUAUUGUAGGUCUACGAAACCCUAAACCACAAAUCUCAAACCCUAAAUGUUUUGCUUGAUAAUCAAAAAGUCUCAUUUAUACAAAAUAUAAACUACUAAACAUUAAUAUGCAGAUUUAAGUUAAUAAAACAAAAAAAAAACAAAAUCUAAAAUCUAAUCCUUUGAAAUCAACUACUAAAAGACAUAACAUGUUAGAACCUUUUGUUUGUAAACUAUGAAUAUAGUUUAACACAUGAUAACCAAAUUAGUAUAUAUUCUUCAAAAUUGUUCGAUUAUAUGAAAUUUUAAUUUAUUUACUUCAUAUUAUCCAUUAUAUUGAUGAUUAGUUAAAAAUAUCACAAUAAUUAUUUUUAUACAUUUUUAAAAUUAAAUUAUUAGAUCAAAUUAGAGUGUAGACUACAAAACAAGUAUAUAAAGUAGACUUCGUAGGAAGUCUAUAUAUAUGUAGACUUCUUUUAUUACGUGUAGACUUCCAAAGGAUAGAAACGUAAAAUACAUUUCUGUUUUUUGUUUGGUCAUAAGGGUUAAAUAGUACUUUCACUAAUCUUUUAUGUUGGUUUUGCAUUUGACUGAAAGUGGGGUAUAUUUUUACAUUUGACUUGAAUAUUUGGGUUGGUUUUAGCAAAUGUCCCCAUAAUCGAGGAGCAGCCCAAGUAUUGAACGUCUUAGGUGUUCUCGAUCCUUCUAAAGUGAAUGGAUCAUUUUUUCCAGAUAUUCCAUCCACGAGGAUCAGCAAUUAAGUCUCAGUUGCCUGCUUAUUUUUUUAAAAAAAUUUAUUAGGUUUUUUAUAGCUUUCAAAUUAUCAUUGGUGUUUCUCGAAUAAUGCAUUGUUGAACUUUUAAACAUUUUAGUUGAUUUAAUAACGUUGGUCAUUUUGCUUUUAUGUUAUUAUAAAAUAUAUUUACUGAAACAAAUAACGCAUCUGAUAUUAUUAUAACAAAAUACUGCUCCAAAAUAUUUUCACCAAAAAUAUUGUUCAAAAAAUUGCAACAAAACAAUCACAACAACAUUCAGUAGGUAUUUUAUAUAUCAACUUUUGUAACUAUUUAAAUUGCUUCCACACGUCAUAACUAUUACAAAAUAUUUUAUAGACGUCUUGUUGCAUUAAUACUAUGAAAAUUGAAAUAGAAAUUAUUGCAAAUUAUGAAAAUUGAAAUAGAAAUUAUUGCAAAUUUGCUAUGUUGUUUGCUAUAUAUUUUCCUUAGCAAUGAUUUGCCACUAUUAAUGUCAUUGCACAAAUACAUUGUAAAUGUACAACAAAACUGUCACAAAACAAUUGUUGCAAUAAUAUGACAUAUAUAGCAACAACUCAAUUUGUUGCUAAUAUUGCUGCGUAUAUGCAACAAACACGAAUUUGCAACAUCCAAACAGCAAGAAGUUAAAAUUUGUCACAUUUUUAUUGCAAUUUUAUAUUUGCAACAAUAUAUUAGCAUAAUGCAACAAAAUAUCAUUAUUGCAAUAUGACAAUUUUCUUGUAGUUGAUCAACUGUUUGCAAUAAGCUAUCUUACAACACCCUCUGCAUUAUCCUCAUGGCCAACAUUGUAAAUUAGGUUUAUAUCUAGGCUGUACGAUGCCACAUGUCCAGUUUUGCCCAUAUGUCUAUGUGUGCACCUCUUGUUUUGCCCAUAUGUCUAUGUGAUUCACAAAGACGUUUAUUCAGGGUGAUUCCCUUGCUUCAGAUUAUGUUGUUUCUGAUUAAAUAGGAAAGACUAAACAUUUAGAUUUUAUUGUUUCAUUGGAUGUUUCUGAUUUUGACUUCUUAUGUUCCUCACAAUUGUUUUUUUUAUUUGAUGUAUGCAGCAUGUCUAGUUUUGCCCAUAUGUCCUUGCUGACGUGGACGCAUGAGGAGAGAGCAUAACCCAACUUUAUUAAUAUAGAUAGAUAGAUAGAUAGAUAGAUGGUAUAGUUAGAAUGCUUAGAAUUAGGAAAAAACAUAGUUAUAGUUAGGAAUGAAUAUUUGUAAAUGAAAAAGGAUAAGUCAUAUUCCAAAACGUAAAGUUGUGUUAGUUCGGUAGUAUAAAUUAUAUUUUUACUAAAAUUAAUUUGUAAAAGUUGGUUCAUUAAGUAGUAGAUGCUAUUUUUUAGAUUUCUUAAAAGAAUAGUAUAAAAAUUGAACAAUUAAGAAAAAAGACACAUUCAUAGAUGAUUCAUGAAAUAAAUAGAUGAAAAGAUAAAUCUUUAAAUAUUUAUUUGGACUAUUUAAAAGUAAAAUAAAUAUAAAUAACUAAUUAACAAAAUUAACUUCCGUUAAAACCUAAUUUUAAAGAUGAAAAGAUACAAUUAUAUAUAUAUAUAUAUAUAUAUAUAAUUUGGUAUUAUUAAUAAUUCUAUUAUUUAUUUUGGGGUUGAUAAUAAUUGAAUUACGCAUGAAAUUAUUUUCUUGAAAAGGCAUUUGAUAAAUAAAGUUUUCUUGUUUUAGGAUAAGUUACAAAAAUAACAAAUAAUAUUUCUCAUGUUUAUAUAUGUUACAGAAGAUCUUUGAUGAUCAUUUCGAAAAUGGAUAUCUCUCUCUCUCUCUAUCUAUCUAUCUCUCUCUCUCUCUCUCUCUCUCUCUCUCUCUCUCUCUCUCUCUCUCUCUCUCUCUCUCUCUCUCUCUCUCUCUCUCUCUCACUAUUAGUUUUCUAUUUUUAUUUGCCAAUACUUAUAAUUUCUAUAUAGAGAAUUGAGGGUUACAAUGAUUAACAACCAAACAUUAAAAUAGUUAACCAAUAGUUAUAAAGUCUACCAUCACCAAUAGAAACAAGAAUUAGCAUUAAAGUUAUGAUGGUUCAUCACUAAAGUCUACUAUUACAGAUAGUUGGAGUGUUCACUAAAUAGUAAUUACUUAUUGAUUGGGAUUAGUAAAAAUGAAAAGACACAAAUAUUCAUGUUAAAUGGUGUGUCUUAAAAAUGAUAUGGUUUUUCAUUAUCACAUUAAUUGAUGUGUCUUUUCACACAAAUAUUAAAUGAUGUGUUUUUCAUCUUAAGAAUUUAUUAGUUUUGAAAGAAAAAUAUCUAAAGAUGUAUCUUUUCAACAUACAAAUUGCUGAGAAUUUUAAAGAGUUAUCUUUCAUCUUAAGAUGUGUUUUUUAUUUAAAAAUUACAUAGAUAUUUAAGAGGUUAUAAGAAUGUCUGAAAUGUUGAUAUUCAUUCAAAAAUCCCAUAAGUUUUAAAAGUUACAAAUAUUAAAUGAUGUGUUUUUCAUCUUAAAAAUUUAUUAGUUUUGAAAGAAAAAUAUCUAAAGAUGCAUCUUUUCAUAAAGAUGUAUCUUUUCAACAUACAAAUUGCUGAGAAUUUUAAAGAGUUAUCUUUCAUCUUAAGAUGUUUUUUUUUUUUAAAUUACAUAGAUAUUUAAGAGGUUAUAAGAAUGUCUGAAAUGUUGAUAUUCAUUCAAAAAUCCCAUAAGUUUUAAUGAUUUUUAAUUCUAUUUUCAUAUCUAUUUAUAUAUUUUUUAAUUUUUUUUUUAAAAUGAUGUCUUUAUAUAUUUGCUUAAUUUGAUUUGUUGGGUAAUUUAAUUAUUUUAUAAUAUUAUAUAUUUUCAAAAUUUAGUAUAUGUUUUCAAUUAUAAUUUUUAGUUUCUAACAUGUUUUGGUGCCUCUUUGGCUGAUUUGGAACUCUCAACAUGUUUUGGUAUUUUGGAAUGGUAUCGACUUCUCAAAAAAAAAAAUUCAAGUUUAGUCUAAAAUACAAAAAAAAACAACAUUUAUCUUUAUGUGUUUUUUUUUCUUUUUAGUUUAUUUUGAUUAUUGUGACAUUUUUUGUUGUAAUUUGUUAAUACAUACAACUCAUUAAAUAGAGGAAUAAUGGUCGUUUAACACCAAAAAAGAAAAUUAUUUAUCACCAAAGAUCAUAAUCACCAACAAUUGCAAUGAUUUAUCACAUGCCAACCACUUGAAUACAAUUUUUUAUAUAAUGAACAAACACAUACUUCACGAGAAAUAACUCUUACAAAUUACACAAUUUAUAAGAUGAUAAGACAUAUCUUUAGACAUUUGAAAAACUCUAAAACUUAUUAAUUUUUAAGGAUGAAAAACACCUAUUAACAUUAAUUAAGAUUCAUCUUAUUAAUUUAUUUUUAUAAUGAAAAGAUACAAAUUUUAAAACUAAUAUAUUUUAGAGAAUGAAAACACACAUUCUUAGAUGUAAAAAAUAUAUUUUUAUGAUAAAAAUACAUACCUUAACUUUUCUUACACAUUUUCCAAUAGUUGCAUAUUGGAAAAAUAAACUAAUCUUAGUUUUUAAUGAAAAGACACAACUUUUAAUAUUAAUUGAAGUUCAUAUUAUUAGUUUACUUUUUAUUAAUUGAAAUUCCGACCAUAGCAUAUAUAUAUAUAGUUAAAGAAAAGUAAUAUACAUAGAACGAUGAUGAUUUGACUGCACUUUUAAGAAAUUACUAGAUCUCGACCCGCGCUACCGCGCGGGUGUUUAUUUUUAUUUAUUUUUAUAUAAAUAUUUUGUUUUUAAUUCUACAUUGGUGUAUAUUAGUAUAAUAUUAUAAGGUGUGUCUAUCACUUUUUAAAACAUAAUAAUUUUAUUGUAUAUUUUUUUUAUUGAAUUGGUUGUUUCAAGAUCACGUAUUUUUGCUUGAAAUUUUUUGAUAAUUAUUUAGUUCCUAUAAUGUAACAGACAUAUUAUUUAGUUCUUAUAAUCUAGAAAGUGAGUUAUUUAGAUCUAUAAUAAUGAUAAGAUUAGAAAUUAAAUGUAACAUGACUUUCUAGUAAUAGGUCCAUUAAGUCCAUUUUUUUAAAAAUCGCACAUGAGUCAAGGUUGUGACUUCUCUUUUAAUAUAUAAGAUAUAUGAAUUGUUAUCUUGAAAUUUCUAGUACAAAUGUGUAAACAGAUAAAUACCAGUCCAAUAUGUAAAAUAAAAGUAAGUUCGGAUAGUUUAUUGGAAAAAAGUUUCAAAAUUAAUUUGUUAUUAUUAUAUACUAUAUGAAAAUACACAAGUGUUAAAAAAAUGAUAUUUUUGAUAAAUAAAACUGGUUCUUAACGAAAAUAUAAAUGAAAAUAACUUAUAAUAAAGAAAUGAAAUUGUAAGACGUGUUUUUGACUUUUGUUUCAUAGAUAUCUAUAUCUAUAUAUAUAUACUAUACUAAAAGCCAAAUAUAGUGCAAGGAGAAGCAUGCCACAUCAAUUAAAAUAAUCCACCAAUCAGAAAUUUUCUUUUUGACAUGUCAUUUUACAGUUUGUGGGCUUUGAAUCUUGACUGUGUAGGUUUACAAAAAUAAUAUUCCGAAGCCCAACAUCAACUGUUCGCUCAAAUCAUCAUCUUUCUUCUCUUGCCGUCAUUUCCAUUUUUCCUUUCCACGAAAGGUCUGCCAUAACGUCUCCAUAAAAGUUUACACCUUCUUUUAAGUCCCUAUUAAAAGCUUAAUCCCACUUAUCCCACUAACCCGUAUUUAAUACACCUCAACCUUGCACUACUCACUUACAAUCACAUUCCUAUAAGUAGUCAUGCCUCUUUGCGUUAUUCUCAUCAGUACACGAAGAAUAUUGAUUCAUUGAAUUACAUAAGAGGAAGAUGCUGAAUAUGCAACUAAAAGUCUUAACGUGAAUACGCUUAAUGGAAAACCUAUACGUCUUAACAAGGUAUCAUCUUUGUUCCUAUAUCUUUGUUAAGCAUCAUAUUUUUUAUUUUAUGUUAUUUUUCUUAAAAAUUUACAUCAUACUUUUUAUUUGCUAGGAAAUUCUUGGGUUCUUGCAAGUUUUGGUGCAUAGACGUAUUUAAUUGCUCCUCUUAGGAGUUUGCUAAUAUUUUUUUCUCCUCAUUGUCAACAUGUAUUAUGUAACUAUUUAAGUGUAGUUACACCACAAUUAAUAAUGCUGAGUUUGUUUCUCGCCGUGAUGAAACCAAGGAGAGGAUAAGAGCUUCAAUGAAGCAAUUUUGGGCUGCAAGGUCAACAACCAAGCGAUUAAAGGAGAGCCUCACUUCGUUUUGGUCAAAAACAUUGCUGAAGCUGCAAUGGAAGAAUGAAGUUGUGAAUCAGAUUUUGAUUGGGACUUUUAAAAAGCUAAAUAAGAGAUUUCACCUGAGCUGAAGAUUAAAUUGGCUGAGGAAAAAGUAAGAACUAAGAACAAAGGAACACAACAAAAUGAGAGAAAAAAAUCUGCACUUCCCAAGACGGAGAAAAUGAGGAGAGUUGUAGAAAGAAAAAAGAGCAUCAAGAGAGAGACCAAAGAUAAGAUCAUUCUCCAAUUUCCAUACCUGGAUGAUAUAAUAGAAUAUGUCACUAAUAUACAUAAGAUAUUUCUACAAUUUUUUUAGAGUGUGGUUUGCAACUGAUUGAACUUAUUUAACACCAACAUAAAUGGUUCCAAUAAAACCUUCAAAAAGGUUAAUUUUGAGAAAAGAGAUUCUCGAGAUUAAUAAAAAAGCACAGAAAUGUACAAAAGGAUACUGAGCAUAAAGAUACUUUAAGUUAGAUGAAAAAUAUAAAUAAUUCUUCAAAGAUGGCUAGAGAAAAGCACUCUACAAUGCUUGAAGAAAAUCAACUUGCUCAUCGAGAUUAUUUUAGUGGAGAAGAAUAACUAUUAGGCUUGAACAACAAAACAAAACUAAACUAAAAACGAACAAAGCUAAAAAAAAACUAUAAAUAUGAAUACAUCAGUUGUAUUAUAAAAAUGUAAAAAGAACAGGAAAAACAGGUAACUACACAUUAGAUUGCAUAGUGCCAUAUUCAACGUGUAGGGGAGGAUUUUUGCGCGAGAGUUUAAUUAAAUAAUUUGACCCCUCUAUGGCUCUAUAUAUGUAUGUGUUUUCACACUUAUGGCAAUCAAUUAUUGUCAAAGAAAAAAAGAACCAAAUUCGUUAGUUUUUUUUUUCUUUUUGAGUUUUGUCAUAUUUUUUUUUUGUAAUAGUCGGGAACUACAUGGACAUUUGAAUGCAAGAAUAACACAUAAAUGCAGGUUGUAUAUCAUACAACUAGGUAAUAACCCGUGCCUUAUGCGGAAUAUGAUUAUUAGUUUCGUUUUUUUAAUAAGGAGACAUUAAUUUGUUUAAUCUAGAUAUCGGUUCGGUUUUAGUUUUUUUUUUUUUUUAAUCUCCUAAAAUAUAACUAUCAUUUUAAAUCAAUAUUUAUUUGAUUUAUUCAGUUAAAAUGUUUGCGGUUUUUUUUUUCCUGUGAUAAUCAAAAGUUACUAUUAUUUGUUUAUUUUCAAUGUUAUGAAUCUUAGAUAGUUGUGAUGUCGAACCAAUGGUUUCAUAUUAUAGUUUCUAAACGGAUAAUAGUUUAAAAAAUAAAAUUAUUAAAACAAAUUAUUUUACUACAAUUUGGUCGAUAGUGAAAAAAGCAUUAAGAAAAAAAUAUUUUAACGUCCUAAAAAAAUUAGAUAUUUCAGUUGUGGUAAAUACUUACUUAUAUUUCAGUUGAGACACGUCCUCUUUCUGAGCUUGGUAUGCUCUAUGUAUGGACCAAAAACACAAAAAAAAACAUGUAACUUAUUAAGCAAAAUUUUAAAUUUAAAAACCACAUGACAUAAAUUAUAGUAAAAGUAAAUUAAUUACAAACCAAUUAAAACAUUAAGAAAAAUACAUGUUAGGUUAUUAAAAUAAAUUAGUACAAUUACCCCCACACAAAUUAGAUGUGAUAUAACAAACACAUGUUAGAUUAUUAAAAUAAAUUAGUACACAUGUGUUGUACUUAUGCAAAUUAUAUAAGUAAAUUUAAUAUAAACACACACAAAAAUUAUUUUAUCAUGUUCAGUUAAAAUUAGCAUGUGUAAAUCUCUCAGUUAUAUCCCAUGUUCAGGUUAGUGGGAGAAAUAAAAGAUACAAGUGAUAGAAAGCAAAAAGAAGACCCACUCCAUGCUAUUGCUUUCGAAACUAAGCUUGGAGUUCAGUUAUAUAAUGCACGAGUUCAUGCUAACUUAUAUCAAUUAAUCAAGUUUUUGUUCAGAUAAAGAGAAAUCUAUUGGUGAUUUUUUGUCUUUCCUUCUAUAAACAUUUUUCAUAAGAGUUAAUGGACUACAUAUUCUUUUCCAAUGAAUUUUCAUCUUCAGUAGUAUUCUAUACAUGUUAUGAGAGUAUUUAUAUUGAGAACCUUAAGUCUAGAUUAGUUAACUCUAGCACCUUUAAUAAAAUUUAUUAUGGUCAUUUUCUUCACUGAAGUCUAUUUUUAUGACAAAAAACUUUAAAAAAUCAUCAUAUAGAAUUUCUCUAUCUCUUAUCUGAUAUGACAAUAAUAUAAAAAAUCAAUUUAUUUUCAUCUAAUUUAUUACUAUAGAAGUGAUUUGGUUUGUGGUCUAAAUUAUAAAAAGCUAUUAAAAGUACAUGCAAAUAAAAUAGGGAUUGGGAAUACAUUUAUAUUGCAUAAUCCGCGCGUAGCGCGGACAAAAUAUCUAGUUUCUUUGAGAAUUGAACAUAUAUAAAACUCUAGGUAUCUACAUCAUUUUUAUUUGUCUCUAACCAACAAUUGAAUAUGUUUCCGUGAGAUAACAAAUAAGUACCAUCGGUAUGAAAAAAAAAAAACAAAUAAGUACCAUCGCCAC